UACGAAGGGGGCUAGCGUUGUUCGGAUUUACUGGGCGUAAAGCGCACGUAGGCGGGCCGUUAAGUCAGGGGUGAAAUCCCAGAGCUCAACUCUGGAACUGCCCUUGAUACUGGCGGCCUCGAGGCCGGAAGAGGUGAGUGGAAUUCCCAGUGUAGAGGUGAAAGUCGUAGAUAUUGGGAAGAACACCAGUGGCGAAGGCGGCUCACUGGUCCGGAUCUGGCGCUGAGGUGCGAAAGCGUGGGGAGCAAACAGG
rnacentral:rRNA from 1 species